UGCGGUCAAGUGAAUUUUUAUGUGGUUUGGCUUGUAUUCCUUCCUAUUGGAUGUUUAGGGUCACAUGAGUGGGGUGAUACAGGAAGAGUUUCCUAUUGGAUGUUUAGAGUCACAUGAGUGGGGUAAUGCAGGAAGCCAUUUUAGUAUUGGGAUUUGCACAAUGAGGCGUACCAGAAGUCUCCCUGUUUAAUCCUUCAGCAUCCACCUGUGUUAUGCCAUGGAGAAGCUUUGUUUUUUCACAAGUUCUGGGAAAGCACUGUAAGAUGUACGUUGAUGAAGACAAACAAGUAAACAGCCCUCAACUUUACUUUCACGUCUGACUCAUCAUUCAACGCUUUCAGUGCCUACGGCAUAUGUUUAGCUAUCUGUCACUUCGUGUACCAGAACCACGCACGCAGGGGGCAGAAUAACAUGCAUGAAGAGGAUGAUGUGGACAAAAUACUCAUUUGCCUAAUAAUUCUGCACUCCCUGUAUAUCAUUUCAUUGGGACAUGUUAUUUCUGCUCUGUGGGAUUGUAUUGUUUAUUAAGGUCUUACUGUGGCACAUUGCAUUACAUUACAUCAUUUCAGAUUC